rnacentral:rRNA from 1 species
UACGUAGGAUGCAAGCGUUAUCCGGAAUUAUUGGGCGUAAAGCGUACGUAGGCGGUUUACCAAGUCUGGAGUUAAAGACCGAGGCUCAACCUCGGGAGUGCUCUGGAAACUGGUAGGCUGGAGGACGGCAGAGGAAAGUGGAAUUCCCAGUGUAGCGGUGAAAUGCGUAGAUAUUGGGAGGAACACCAGUGGCGAAAGCGACUUUCUGGGCCGUUCCUGACGCUGAGGUACGAAAGCCAGGGGAGCAAAC